rnacentral:rRNA from 1 species
UACGUAGGGGGCGAGCGUUGUCCGGAUUUACUGGGCGUAAAGCGCGUGUAGGCGGUUUGCCAAGUCCGGGGUGAAAGGCGGGGGCUCAACCCCCGAGCUGCGCUGGAAACUGGCAGACUUGAGUGUCGGAGAGGGGAGUGGAAUUCUCGGUGUAGCGGUGAAAUGCGUAGAGAUCGAGAGGAACACCCGUGGCGAAGGCGGCUCCCUGGCCGAACACUGACGCUGAGACGCGAAAGCGCGGGGAGCGAACGGG